rnacentral:tRNA from 1 species
GUCGGGGUGGUGGAAUUGGUAGACACGCUGUCUUGAGGUGGCAGUGGCUACGCCGUGCGAGUUCAACUCUCGCCCUCGACACCA